rnacentral:rRNA from 1 species
UACGUAGGGGGCAAGCGUUGUCCGGAAUCAUUGGGCGUAAAGCGCGUGUAGGCGGCCCGAUAAGUCCGCUGUGAAAGUCCAGGGCUCAACCCUGGAAUGCCGGUGGAUACUGUCGGGCUCGAGUCCGGAAGAGGAGAGUGGAAUUCCUGGUGUAGCGGUGAAAUGCGCAGAUAUCAGGAAGAACACCCGUGGCGAAGGCGGCUCUCUGGGACGGUACUGACGCUGAGACGCGAAAGCGUGGGGAGCGAACAGG